UGGCGGCCGUAGCGCGGUGGUCCCACCUGACCCAUGCCGAACUCAGAAGUGAAACGCCGUAGCGCCGAUGGUAGUGUGGGGUCUCCCCAUGCGAGAGUAGGGAACUGCCAGGCA
rnacentral:rRNA from 4 species